rnacentral:rRNA from 1 species
GGUCACGGGCUGCCUACAAACAUGCUCAAUUGCAUCUGAUUUUGGAAGCUAAGCAACACCAGGUCUGGUUAGUACCUGGAUGGGAGAUAAUGAUGAAAUACUGGGCGCUGUUAACA